GGUUUAUUGGUGAUUCCAGUUUUCUCCUCUGGGGGUUGUUGAUAGGCUUUUGUCAUUUUUCUGUUUUUCUUAAUUGUAUCUAGGAAUUCUUUACACAGAGAUGCCACAAAGUUUAACUUUGGCCUCAGUACUCAGGAAAAGAUAUACUUGGUUUCAGCCUUGGCUUCAGGCUUUGAAAGACAGAGUAACAAAUAGCUACUUCUUUUCUGGCCCCUUCAUCAUCUGCUUGUUCAAUGGAGGUAGGACCACUCAAAUUACGAACAAGGUGUAGCCCUCGAAUUGGCUAUUAACAUCUGAAUACAUACUAAGUAUUCAUUUUCAAACUUAGGAGAGCAGUCUAGAUGUAACUUGGAAUAAAAACCUCCAUGGGCUUCUACAGGCUGUUAAAAUAUAAGCAUAUUUAUGUGUUUCAAUAAUAAAAUGUUGAAAUAUGCUGAUUUUGAAAGCUGUUAAUUUGCUGUACAAAAAUUAUUAAGAACUUUCAAACAGUUAAACAAUGUUAGCAGUUAUUAGGAAUAAGAGAGAGUGCAUUAGAUAGAUAACACUAACAAGAACAUAAUAUCCGUUUUCAGCCAGCAAAUGUUUAUAAAAUUUUAAAUGCUAAUAAAACAGGAGAAUAAUAGAAAUUAGAUUAUAUCACAAUGCUAAUCUUUAGAAGCAUUAAGAGCUAUAUUUAAUUUUUUGUUAUUUAAUUCAGCUUAGGCCAGAGUCUUUCAAGAAAAAAAGUCUUAUUAGAGAAGUCUUCAUAUCUCGUGAGGAUGAAUUAAAAGCAGAAUCUCAACUUUGCUACCUUUAAAUGUCACGGAGAGAAAAAACUGCAAAACCAUGUGCAACAAUAUCCAUGAUAAAUCAUCUUUGAUCUCAACAUAACGGAGACUAUAAGGAGUAUAAAGACUAGAAGAAAGAGUAGAAGGUGAUCCACAAUCAAUUCAGAACCUGGUCUUCUAUGGUGGCUCACAGUUCCUGCACCCUACAAUAUCGUGCACCUCUCUCUAAAUCUACUGAAACGUGCAGCCUUCUUUUGGAAGAGAAAGAUUCUGAUAUUCAUUAACAAUUAAAUGAAUCUUCAAGAAGCCCAAAUAGUGAUUAUAUUUGAAUAAAUAUUUUAAUGGGAAAAAUAAGGGGGAAGGACUACACUCCUUGCUUCCUUUGGAUUUGAACUUGGCCUGGUGACUUGCCUGAGCCAGUGUGACAGAUGAGAAAGCAGAUGCCACAGACUACUUUGGUGCCUUGUUUUUCCUCCAUCAGACUGGCUCUUAGUAUUUCAGAUGGUGGAAGCUCUGUGAGUCUGGAUUUGAGUAAAGAUGGUGAGAUAUUUGUCCCUAGAACGCAGAUAACUGGAUCAAGGCUACUCUUCCUGGAAACCUCAUGUAUGCCACCUGCCCAACCAUUUCUAUGGACAUAUUAUGAAGA
rnacentral:lncRNA from 1 species